AUCAGCUGCACCGCAAACCUCUAUUCAGCCGGAUGACCCUGUCCGUCCUGAACCUACUCUGGUUAUCCAUGACCAACCACUUCGUCGUUCUCAACGACCUCGAGAAGCCAACGUUCUCCUUAAAGAUUAUGUUUGCUCGCAGGUGAUUCUGCCUCCACACCAAUUGUUCUCGGCCUCGUCUGCACCUACACCAGGUACGGAAUAUCCUC
rnacentral:lncRNA from 1 species